CCCUUGCCCCAUGCCACGGCCUUGCCCCUUCCUGCUUUGUCUUUUCCCUCAGCACCAGCAGCAUCUGAUAUACCCAGAAGCUUCCCUUUUUGUUUGUCGUCUGUCGCUCUGCUAUAGCAGGAAGCCUUCGUGGUCCUGCCUUGCUGCUCCUCCUUGCUCCUGGCCCCACCUUGCUCCAAAGCACAGUCUAUUUCUGCAUGAUUUGCUCACCCGAAAGGGAGAGAUGAAGCACCCGAGCUUCGAGAAGGGUCAUUGGUUUCCCCACGGCCUAAUAGACAAACUCAUGAUAAAAACUUUCCAAAGACAAGUCAGAUGUCCGAGGCUGUCACUCUGCAGGCCUUGGUCGGAUGCCCAGCAGGUGUCAGGACAAGAUCAACUCCAUCACUGGCCCGGCUUGUUGAGAGGGAGGUCUCCACCCCAAACGCUCCAACAGGCCGGUUUGCCCAUCCUCCCCACACUGAGUGUUUUGCAAAGAAAAGAAAGGAAGAUGUUUUCCAUUUGAAAAAACAAGAAAUGCUGGCAAAGCUGAGAGGCAGGGCACUCUCCGCACUGCCGAAAGAACACAGGACAAACCUCUUAGGAAAGCAAUUUGGGCCCCUAUUUUCAAAAUCUAAAAUGCCAUGUCCUUUGAUCUAGCAAUUCUACUUCCAUGAAUUUGUCCUCAGGUAGACUUCCCCAUGUGCACACAAAAGCAGGACGCACCCGAGGACUAGCUGCAGCGUCGCGUUUCAUACCAAGGACAAAACAAUGCAAACGCCCACUAACUGGAGACUGGCAGGGUGAAUUAUGACAGACUCCUGCAAUGAAAUUCUAGGCAGCUUUUGAAAAGAAGGAAGCAAAAUGAAGCCAUAAACGUACUAAGAGGAACCAUAAAUUUCUUUUAUAAUCUCUGAUUUGAGAAGAAGGCCCUUUCAUAUACGACACAAACCUCAAACUGUAAAACAGACGAAUAGGACGACAUUCCCAUUUCUUUCUUUCUUUUUUUUUUGCAUGACCCAGAAGAAAAACAAAAGAAAAACCAAAUCCGUCAAAGAAAAAGCAUAAAACGGUGAGAACAUGUUUCUAACUCAUAGGAUAAUUUUCUUAAAGCAUUCCUGCAAAUCGGUAAGAAAAAGAUGAACAACCCAGCGGGAGAAUGGACCAAGGAUCUGAUUGGACAAUUCACGGAAAAGGAAAUAGAAGUUUCUCUGAAGUAUAUGGGGAAAAAAAUGCUCAACCUUCAUCAAAGAGAACUACAAAUUAAAACUCUCCUGGGAUAUUGUUUCUCAUCUCUUAGAAUGAUGUCUAAUGAGCUACAGUUGAUCUUUGACCCACACGGGUCUGAACUGCACGGGUCCACUGACAUGUGGAUUUUUUUAAAAAAUAAAUGCAGCAUACUGCUGUGCCUGUAUUUUCCCUUCCUUAUGAUUUUCUCAAUAACA